rnacentral:rRNA from 1 species
GACAGAGGUGCCAAGCGUUAGGCGGAAUCACUGGGCUUAAAGGGCGCGUAGGCGGGCGGGCAAGUCAGGGGUGAAAGCCCACGGCUCAACCGUGGAAGUGCCUUUGAUACUGCCGGUCUCGAGGGAGGUAGGGGCACGCGGAACUUCCGGUGGAGCGGUGAAAUGCGUAGAUAUCGGAAGGAACACCAAUGGCGAAGGCAGCUCGCUGGGACGGUACUGACGCUGAGACGCGAAAGCGUGGGGAGCAAACAGG